CGCAGCCGCGGUAAUUCCAGCUCCAAUAGCGUAUAUUAAAGUUGUUGCAGUUAAAAGCUCGUAGUUGAAUUUCGGGAUUGACACAUCGGUCGUGCCUUAAGGGGUAUGAACUGGUAUAGUCAAUUUCUCACCUUCUGGAGAACCGCGAUGCCCUUAAUUGGGUGUCGCGGGGAACCAGGACCUUUACUUUGAAAAAUUAGAGUGUUUAAAGCAGGCAUUUUGCUUGAAUACAUUAGCAUGGAAUAAUAAAAUAGGACGGCAUGAUUCUAUUUUGUUGGUUUCUAGGAUCACCGUAAUGAUUAAUAGGGAUAGUUGGGGGCAUUAGUAUUCAAUUGUCAGAGGUGAAAUUCUUGGAUUUAUUGAAGACUAACUACUGCGAAAGCAUUUGCCAAGGAUGUUUUCAUUAAUCAAGAACGAAAGUUAGGGAUCGAAGACGAUCAGAUACCGUCGUAGUCUUAACCAUAAACUAUGCCGACUAGGAAUCAGACGAUGUUAAUUUUUAAUGUACUUCGUUUUGGCA
rnacentral:misc_RNA from 1 species